UACAGAGGUCUCAAGCGUUGUUCGGAAUCACUGGGCGUAAAGCGCGCGUAGGCGGCUCGGAAAGUCGGUCGUGAAAUGCCGGGGCUCAACCCCGGGACUGCGUCCGAUACUCUCGAGCUGGAGGCAGGUAGGGGAGAUCGGAAUUCCUGGUGUAGCGGUGAAAUGCGCAGAUAUCAGGAGGAACACCGGUGGCGAAGGCGGCGCUCUGGGCCGGUACUGACACUGAGGAGCGAAAGCGUGGGUAGCAAACAGG
rnacentral:rRNA from 1 species